GCGGGAAUAAUUCAGCGGUAGAAUGCCACCUUCCCAAGGUGGACGUCGCGGGUUCGAGUCCCGUUUCCCGCU
rnacentral:tRNA from 1 species